UUCUCUUCGGAGAAGAGCGGCGGACGGGUGAGUAACGCGUGGGUAACCUGCCCUGUACACACGGAUAACAUACCGAAAGGUAUGCUAAUACGGGAUAACAUAAGAAAUUCGCAUGUUUUUCUUAUCAAAGCUCCGGCGGUACAGGAUGGACCCGCGUCUGAUUAGCUAGUUGGUGAGGUAACGGCUCACCAAGGCGACGAUCAGUAGCCGACCUGAGAGGGUGAUCGGCCACAUUGGAACUGAGACACGGUCCAAACUCCUACGGGAGGCAGCAGUGGGGAAUAUUGCACAAUGGGCGAAAGCCUGAUGCAGCAACGCCGCGUGAGCGAUGAAGGCCUUCGGGUCGUAAAGCUCUGUCCUCAAGGAAGAUAAUGACGGUACUUGAGGAGGAAGCCCCGGCUAACUACGUGCCAGCAGCCGCGGUAAUACGUAGGGGGCUAGCGUUAUCCGGAUUUACUGGGCGUAAAGGGUGCGUAGGCGGUCUUUUAAGUCAGGAGUGAAAGGCUACGGCUCAACCGUAGUAAGCUCUUGAAACUGGAGGACUUGAGUGCAGGAGAGGAGAGUGGAAUUCCUAGUGUAGCGGUGAAAUGCGUAGAUAUUAGGAGGAACACCAGUAGCGAAGGCGGCUCUCUGGACUGUAACUGACGCUGAGGCACGAAAGCGUGGGGAGCAA
rnacentral:rRNA from 1 species